GACGAACGCUGGCGGCGUGCUUAACACAUGCAAGUCGAACGGAAAGGCCCCCUUGUGGGGUAUUCGAGUGGCGAACGGGUGAGUAACACGUGAGUAACCUACCCUUGACUUUGGGAUAACUUCAGGAAACUGGGGCUAAUACCGGAGAGGAGCUCCUGCUGCAUGGCGGGGGUUGGAAAGUUUCGGCGGUUGGGGAGGGACUCGCGGCUUAUCCGCUUGUUGGUGGGGUAGUGGCUCACCAAGGCUUUGACGGGUGGCCGGCCUGAGAGGGUGACCGGCCACAUUGGGCCUGAGAUACGGCCCAGACUCCUACGGGAGGCAGCAGUGGGGAAUAUUGCACAAUGGGCGGAAGCCUGAUGCAGCAACGCCGCGUGCGGGAUGACGGCCUUCGGGUUGUAAACCGCUUUCGCCUGUGGCGAAGCGUGAGUGACGGUAAUGGGUAAAGAAGCACCGGCUAACUACGUG
rnacentral:rRNA from 1 species